CGAGGUGGAGCGAAUCUCCAAAAAUUGUCCCAGUUCAGAUUGCAGGCUGCAACUCGCCUGCAUGAAGUCGGAAUUGCUAGUAAUCGUGGAUCAGCAUGCCACGGUGAAUACGUUCCCGGGCCUUGUACACACCGCCCGUCACACCAUGGGAGUCGGUAACACCCGAAGCCUGUAGUCUAACCGCAAGGAGGACGCAGUCGAAGGUGGGAUUGAUGACUGGGGUGAAGUCGUAACAAGGUAAC
rnacentral:rRNA from 1 species